UACUCUUAAGCUAAACAAUGGUGUGUUA
rnacentral:sRNA from 1 species